rnacentral:rRNA from 1 species
GACGUAGGAGGCGAGCGUUGUCCGGAUUCAUUGGGCGUAAAGAGCGCGCAGGCGGCUUGGUAAGUCGGAUGGUGAAAUCCCGAGGCUCAACCUCGGGUCUGCAUCCGAUACUGCCCGGCUAGAGGUAGGUAGGGGAGAUCGGAAUUCCUGGUGUAGCGGUGAAAUGACGCGAGAUAUCAGGAGGAACACCGGUGGCGAAGGCGGAUCUCUGGGCCUUACCUGACGCUCAGGCGCGAAAGCUAGGGGAGCGAACUGG